GUGACGUGGGCAAAAGUGGAAGAGAGUAUCCAAAUAGGCAGUGGCGAAUGCAAUCUAAGCACCUCAGCAAUGGCGUCGGCGCCUGCUGCUUAUUCCUUUCUCCAUUGAUCGAUCGAUCAAUCCACCAAUUCAUGAGACGAUGCGUUGUUGUUGUGGAUUAGGAUCUCGCCGCUGGAUUUCCAACUACGACAAGCUCCAUCGCUUUGCCCUCUUCCUCAUCUACGCUCAGAUUGGCUGCUCUCUCCUCGGAUCGCUCUCCCCUCUCUACAAUGGCGUCCUCAUCCUCCAUUUAGGGGUUUCUCUCUUCGGCCUCGUCGCCGUCGAGAGCAGCAAUCAGAGCCUCGCCCGCACCUACGCCUUCCUCCUCUUCUGCUCCUUCUUCCUCGACCUCUCCUGGUUCUUCCUCUUCUCUCACCAAAUCUGGCAUUUUCCUUCUGGUGUGUACGGAACCUUAGCUGCCUACGCCGUGAAGCUGACUCUGGUGGUGCAGAUCGCCGGAGUUUCAGUUAGGCUGUUAUCAUCCUUCUUAUGGAUUCAGAUUUACAGGCAGGGCGUUUCUAGCGCGGACGGCUCAGCUGCCAGAGAUGCGGAUGCCGAUUUGAGAUUUAAUUGCCUCAACUCGGCUACUCAUGUUGUUCGACAUCCCUACGAUGUGAUCGACGAUGCGUAUGAUCCUGCUAAUUUCCUGCCUCUUUUUGGAGAUCGCGCCAGGGAUGACUCCUCUCGAUAUGGGGUAUGCUCCUUCCUCUUCAAACCAUUAUUCAUUCUUCUAUGUUUUUCACAUUUUAUUCAUAAAUCAUAUAGUAAUAUGGAUUUGUUAGAGCUACAAACAAAAAUUAAGACAUGGAAGACAUUAGGAGAGCAGAGCAGUCCAAAUAUUGAGUUGCUAAGCUCCUUAAAUUCACAAAUUAACAGACUUAGCAGUUUAUCUUGUGUUGUGCUGCUUAUUCUUUUGUGCAAUAUAUAUGUAUCCAAAUAUGAACUGUUGCUAUGAUUUGGUGUUUGAUUGCUCAUAAAUUUGGUGUUUGUAUUUGAUUAUAAGUGUAAAAUAAUCCUUAGCAUUCAAAAUCGUACAAGUGGUAAUGGAGAUCAUCCCUUGACAUUCGCAUGAAAAUGGAAGAUGUUAUGAUGUUGGCUCCUACUCUGUAUUAUUAUUGACUGUUUGAUUUAUAAGUUUGGAUUCUUACGUUGUUUUAGCUUCUGUGCAUUGUGCAACUCAUUCGAAACACAAGUCAGAACUUAAUGCUAAACUGGGACUGGAUCUGUUAAUAACUAGUGUACAAAUAUUUAUGAGGGCCAAACUGGAUGACUGAACUUGUGUUUUUGCCAACUAUGAUGUCUUUUGUCAUUGCUGAGAUGAUGCGAUUCUCUUCUAAGCAUGAAGACAUUUUUCUUAUGAAUGAGAUGCAGAACAUAAACCUUAGUCCGUGGACUGAGCAUGGUGGUCUUUGACAUUUACAAGCCUAUAUAGUCUGAAGUAGUUUAACUUGUGUUUAUAGUGUCUAAGAGGAUGCUUGGGUGUGGUGGUUUGGGAAGAGGAAAUAGGAGAACAAGAUAAAUGGGUGAUUGGAAUUUCCAGAAUCACUUCAUUCCGCCACCAUUAUACAAUAAUCGUUCUCAUUCCUCUUAAAGUAUACUGCUGGUUCGGGAUUGAGAUGUGAGACAUAAAUACUAGCAGCAAUAUAUUUUUUCCAUUAGCUUAAGCUGUUUGCUUCACUAGAUCAGGAGCUGGAGAGAAUGCAGCUCCAUUACAAACAUAAUGUGAAUGGUAGAGAUAAAGUGAUAUUGUAGGGAUCAGACUGCUUAGGAUUCACUAAUUACCGGGACCUUUUUUAUUGAUUGGUUCUGAGAUAGCUAAUCUCGGAGGUACAAGCCAAUACAAAAGAGAUAUUUUGUUUCACCACAACAAAUUAUUUGAUUCUUUGUUUUCAAAGAAUUUUCAUGAUAGACCAGAACAAUCAUUUAUAGGAUUUAAUGAUUCCUAAAAGUCGAUUCAUCUUUUUGACUAUUUUCAUUGAAAAAAUCUAUACAGAUAUAUUUGUAUCUAUCGUUAAUAUUCCCAGAAUAAAUACAGAAUUUUUUCUUAAAUUAACAAAAAAAUUUAUUGAUAAGAAUAAUCAAAGAAAACAAGCAAAAAUUAAUACAAAAAAGAAAACUAAACUUAAUCAAAAAGUAGAAAAAGAAAUAAUUGUAUCAGAGCCCUGGUUCAGGGCUGGGCCUGUGUGGCUCGGGGUUCGGUGGUUGCGCUUGCAAGUUCUCCAAUGUCUCUGCGUGAGCUCGACCAAGACCUGUGGUGACCGGGUGACCUGUAACAUGAGGCACGCAUGUGGUUUUGGUCUUGGUCUGGUGGUCUUGGUUUGAGGGGAGGAUUGUGAGGGCAAACAAUUCCCACAUUGGAGAAUGAACAAGACUUGCAAGUGUAUAAAUGGGCUACCCCUACUCCAUUAGUAUGAGGCCUUUUGGGGAGAUCCCCAAGAGCAAAACCGUGAGGGCUUUGCCCACAAUAUCAUACUAAUGUGGAGUUCGGAUGUGCGCCACCGAUACCCAGCAGAUAUGAUCACCAGAUGGGUAUGAAGCUUAUUUUUGGAUGGCAGGCUAUUCAAAACGGCGACUCAACUGUAGGAGACUCUGCUGGAACUUCUCAGGCGCAUUCAUACAAAAGUUCUGAUGUUUUCAUGUUAAGAUAAUAUUGUUGGUCCAUGAUGAAUCAUAUUGUUUACUAAUGGGUGGGUGAUCAAUAUUUCAGGACGAGAAAUGCUUGAGAUGGUUUGAACUAAUGGUGAUGGUUACUUCUCCCUUCAUUCCAUCCUCAUAUUUUUUAUUUUUUCAUUCAAUUAAAGAUGGGUAAGUGCAGUGUAUAUGUUUUUUUCUAUGCAUGGCAAUAUUUUUCUUUUUUUAGUAAUGAUGCUGCCAUAUGACCAGGA